rnacentral:tRNA from 1 species
UCCCGCGUAGCUCAGUUGGCAGAGCGUUCGACUGUUAAUCGAAAAGUCGCCGGUUCAAGUCCAGCCGCGGGAGCCA